AUUGAACGCUGGCGGCAGGCCUAACACAUGCAAGUCGAGCGAGCGGCGGACGGGUGAGUAAUGUCUGGGAAACUGCCUGAUGGAGGGGGAUAACUACUGGAAACGGUAGCUAAUACCGCAUACCAUCAGAUGUGCCCAGAUGUGAUUAGCUCGUAGUAGGGUUAACGGCUCACCUAGGCGACGAUCCCUAUCUGGUCUGAGAGGAUGACCAGCAACACUGGAACUGAGACACGGUCCAGACUCCUACGGGAGGCAGCAGUGGGGAAUAGUGCACAAUGGGCGCAAGACUGAGGCAGCCAUGCCGCGUGUAUGAAGAAGGCCUUCGGGUUGUAAAGUACUUUCAGCGGGGAGGCGUUACCCGCAGAAGAAGCACCGGCUAACUCCGUGCCAGCAGCCGCGGUAAUGC
rnacentral:rRNA from 1 species